CAGCAGCCACGGUAACACGGAGGGGGCUAGCGUUGUUCGGAAUUACUGGGCGUAAAGCGCACGUAGGCGGCUUGGUAAGUUAGAGGUGAAAGCCCGGAGCUCAACUCCGGAAUUGCCUUUAAGACUGCCGAGCUAGCAGGUGAGAGAGGUAAGUGGAAUUCCGAGUGUAGAGGUGAAAUUCGUAGAUAUUCGGAAGAACACCAGUGGCGAAGGCGGCUUACUGGCUCAUACUGGACGCUGAGGUGCGAAAGCGUGGGGAGCAAACAGGAUUAGAUACCCCUGUAGUCCCUGUCUCUUAUAA
rnacentral:rRNA from 1 species